AUUGAACGCUGGCGGCAUGCCAUACACAUGCAAGUCGAACGGCAGCCCGGGGCAACCUGGUGGCGAGUGGCGAACGGGUGAGUAAUGCAUCGGAACGUACCUUUCAGUGGGGGAUAACGUAGCGAAUGUUACGCUAAUACCGCAUAUUCCAUGAGCAGGAAAGCAGGGGAUCGCAAGCACUUCUGCUGACUGAGCGGCCGAUGUCAGAUGAGCUAGUGGGUGAGGUAAAGGCUCACCAAGGCGACGAUCUGUAGCGGGUCUGAGAGGAUGGUCCGCCACACUGGGACUGAGACACGUUCGAGACUCCGACGGGAGGCAGCAGUGGGGAAUUGUGGACAAUGGGGGCAACCCUGAUCCAGCCAUGCCGCGUGAGUGAAGAAGGCCUUCGGGUUGUAAAGCUCUUUCGGCCGGGAAGAGAUCGCACGGGCUAAUACCCUGUGUGGAUGACGGUACCGGAAUAAGAAGCACCGGCUAACUACGUGCCAGCCGCCGCCGUAA
rnacentral:rRNA from 1 species